AGUGAACGCUGGCGGUAGGCCUAACACAUGCAAGUCGAACGGCCACACAGUAAGCGCUUGCUCUUACGGGUGGCGAGUGGCGGACGGGUGAGGAAUACAUCAGCAUCUACUUUUUCGUGGGGGAUAACGUAGGGACACUUACGCUAAUACCGCAUACGACCUACGGGUGAGAGCAGGGGAUCUUCAGGCCUUGCGCGACUGAAUGAGCCGAUGUCGGAUUAGCUAGUUGGCGGGGUAAAGGCCCACCAAGGCAACGAUACGUAGCUGAUCUGAGAGGAUGAUCAGCCACACUGGAACUGAGACACGGUCCAGACUCCUACGGGAGGCAGCAGUAGGGAAUAUUGGACAAUGGGCGCAAGCCUGACCGAGCCAUACCGCGUGAGUGAUGAAGGUCUUCGGGUUGUAAAGCUCUGUUAUUGGGAAAGAAAAGAAGCAUGUUAAUACCUGGAUGUUCUGACGGUACCUAAAGAAUAAGCACCGGCUAACUUCGUG
rnacentral:rRNA from 1 species